AGGUUUUUAGUUUAAUGGUAAAACAU
rnacentral:tRNA from 1 species